rnacentral:rRNA from 1 species
AUGUGGCCCGGCUGCGGCGGCCGCUUCUACUGGGCGCCCGCGCCGCCGUCCGGGGCGCGGGGCGUCGUGGUCGUGUUCGCGUGGGUGUGGAGCGACGAGGCGCAGCUGCGCCCGUUCGUCGAGCUCUACGCCUCGCUCGGCUGGCGCUGCCUCGUCUGCCACCCCGACCUCGUGUCGCUGUAUCUCUCUGAGAAAGCGGCAACAUUGGCAUGUGGUGUUAUUAGUGAGCUGGCAAAGGAAUUGAAAGUAAAGCCAUUGCCAACUGUGCUUGCUUCUUUUUCUGGUGGCUCAAAGGGAUGCAUGUACAAGGUUAUUCAGUUACUAGACGGAAGAUGUGAAGGAGAUGCAAUGAUGAAGGACUAUCGGUUAGUUAGAAAUUGUAUCUCUGGCCAAAUUUAUGACUCUGGCCCAGUGGAUUUUGUGAGCGAUGUGGGCACACAGUUUCUUCAAAAUCCUGUGAUUGGCACUUCAUCUCAACCAUCCAUGCUACGUUCCUUCAUGGCAAAGGCUCUGGCGUCUGGAAUGGAUACUCUCUUCCCAAGCAGAAUUGAAGCUCAGCGUGCAGAAUAUUGGCACACGCUAUACUCAUCAGCAGGGUUGGGUUCAGUUCUUAUAUUUUGCUCGGAAGGUGAUGAUCUUGCUCCAUGCCAUGUUGUCUGUGGUUUCGCCAGGCGUUUGGUCGAACUAGGCACAGAUGUUAAAGUAAUCAAAUGGAGUGAUUCCCCUCAUACUGGCCAUUACAAGUUGCAUGAAGUGGAAUACAGAACUGCUGUAGAUGAUAUACUGAAGAAAGCUCUUGUCACCUUCUGCCACAGAAGCCAGCUGAAGGGCACUAGUGCAUGGGAUCAGGAGUACAAGAUAGCACACUGUGUGUGCAAUCUACACAAUGUGGCUGCCAAUUCAAAUGAGAGCCUGAGAAGGGUAGCCAACAGUCCCAGCGACCAUUUCUUCUUGCCAAGUUCAAAGGACCAUCAUGAUUCUAGGGAACCAGAUUCUCUGAUUGAGGAGCAGAAACGGUCACUACCCUAUCCAGCCAGGAUGGAGCCUCAAGGAGUCCUUGGCCAAAUUAUGUUUGAUGUUUGUGUUCCGAAAAAUGUUGAAGGAUGGGACAUCAAGCCAACAGUGUCUCCGAAUGGACGACCAACAUUGGCUUCUGCACGGCAACUGGGUCCGUUCAAUCCCAUCAAGUACCUCCGCCGUUCAAGGCUAUAG